rnacentral:rRNA from 1 species
AGGACGAACGCUGGCGGCGUGCCUAACACAUGCAAGUCGAGCGGGGACAAUGACUUCGGUUGUUGUUCUAGCGGCGGACGGGUGAGUAACGCGUGAGCAACCUCUCUCUCAGUGGGGAAUAACACAGGGAAACUUGUACUAAUACCGCAUGGGACCACGACCCGGCAUCGGGUUGAGGUGAAAGAUUUAUCGCUGAGAGGUGGGCUCGCGUCUGAUUAGAUAGUUGGUGGGGUUAAACGGGCCCACCAAGGCGACGAUGCGUAGCCGAACUGAGAGGUUGAUCGGCCACAUUGGGACUGAGACACGGCCCAGACUCCUACGGGAGACAGCAGUUAGGAAUAUUCGUCAAUGGGGGAAACCCUGAACGAGCAAUGCCGCGUGAGUGAAGAAGUAUUUCGGUAUGUAAAGCUCUAUCAGCAGGAAAGAAAAUGACGGUACCUGACUAAGAAGCUCCGGCUAAAUACGUG